rnacentral:rRNA from 1 species
UUUGGAGGAAGGUUCGUCCGCUCCAAGUAAGUCGGGAGCUAAGGUCAGGUCGAAAGGCGUAGCCGAUGCACAUACGGUUGAUAUUCCGUAACCAUCUGUAAUUUAAGCAAAGGGACACUUCAAAAGGGUGUGACCCGGGCGUUGGUUGACCCGGGCGUAAGGGACCGAAAUUAGAGUAGGGAAGCACACUUAGCUGAAGGCGAGAAAAGCUUUGCGUAUAGAAGCAGAUGCCCGUACCGCAAACCGACACAGGUGGACAGGAAGAGAAUUCUAAGGCCAGCGGGAGAAGGGUAGUUAAGGAACUCGGCAAAUUGACUCCGUAACUUCGGAAUAAGGAGUGCUCGAAAGAGCCGCAGAGAAUAGGCCCAGGCGACUGUUUAGCAAAAACACAGGUCUCUGCCAAAUCGAAAGAUGAAGUAUAGGGGCUGACACCUGCCCGGUGCCGGAAGGUUAAGAGGAGGAGUGAGAGCUCCGAAUUGAAGCCCCGGUAAACGGCGGCCGUAACAAUAACGGUCCUAAGGUAGCGAAAUUCCUUGUCGGGUAAGUUCCGACCCGCACGAAUGGUGUAACGAUCUGGGCACUGUCUCAACUACCCACCCGGCGAAAUUGUAGUACCGGUGAAGAUGCCGGUUACCUGCGGCAAGACGGAAAGACCCCAUGGAGCUUUACUGUAGCCUGAUAUUGGGUUUCGGAAAUCUAUGUACAGGAUAGGCGGGAGACUUGGAAACAUGAGCGUCAGCUUGUGUGGAGUCGAUGUUGGGAUACCGCCCUUAGGUUUCUGGAAUUCUAACCUGCGGCCGUGAAACCGGUCGGGGGACAUUGUCAGGUGGGCAGUUUGACUGGGGCGGUCGCCUCCGAAAAGGUAACGGAGGCGCUCAAAGGUUAGCUCAGCACGGACGGAAACCGUGCCUCUGAGUGUAAACGCAAAAGCUAGCCUAACUGCGAGGGUGACGGCCCGAGCAGUAACGAAAGUUGGAGUUAGUGAUCCGGCGGUAUGUGAAUGGAAAUGCCGUCGCUCAACGGAUAAAAGCUACCCUGGGGAUAACAGGCUGAUCUCCCCCAAGAGUCCACAUCGACGGGGAGGUUUGGCACCUCGAUGUCGGCUCAUCACAUCCUGGGGCUGUAUUCGGUCCCAAGGGUUCGGCUGUUCGCCGAUUAAAGUGGUACGCGAGCUGGGUUCAGAACGUCGCGAGACAGUUCGGUCCCUAUCUGUCGUGGGCGCAGGAUAUUUGAGGAGCUCUGUCCUUAGUACGAGAGGACCGGGAUGGACGUACCUCUGGUGCACCAGUUGUCAUGCCAAUGGCACGGCUGGGCAGCUAUGUACGGAACGGAUAAACGCUGAAAGCAUCUAAGCGUGAAGCCGACUCCAAGAUUAGAUAUCCCAUCGUAUAACGAGUAAGACCCCUUGAAGACUACGAGGUUGAUAGGCUGCGUGUGUAAGUGCCGUGAGGCAUUCAGCUUGGCAGUACUAAUAGGUCGAGGGCUUGACCU